UUCUAUAUGCAGUUUUCGGAAUAUUAGCCAACGAAAAACUGCCUGGAGCAUAGGUUCGUUUAUAUAUGGUUCGGUUUCUACCACCAGCCGAAAAGGCACCACACGAAAGAUUGGCGUCGUUCUAAAGUGAAAUCGAUUUCGAUAGCUAUGUCAAGUACGUUCGGACGCAAGGUGAUGCUUGUACUUCAAACGGAUAUCAAGUAUGUGUCGAGUUUGCUAUUUCGAGUUCCUUAAAAGACCCAACGGAUCGUCGACACAGCAGUUGAAAUCUUGGGUCUGACUGCCGGCUGAUAAUAAUGCGGUAUCAGUUUAUCGACAUGCUAGAUCGUGACUCCGCUCUAAAGGAUGUGCUUGUAAUACGGUCCGAUCCGUUCAACUGAAAUUGUAUCUUGGAGGGACGGUGAUACCGCAGACGUCAGCCGUUCCAACGAUAACCCGGAGGCAUCAUGUCAACUAUAUAGCAAUCAUCUCAGUGGUCCAAUGCGCCGAGAGAUACGGGAGCUUGUCUUUUAAGGUCACGUCAUCGGAUUAAUCCGCUGACGACGUGGGACAGGAGCUCGGAUCUGAUGUGUAAAGUGGUGCUAGAAAAGUUUCAGACCCGACUGCAAUUAAAUUGUCUCCCGUGCCGCUUCUAUGUCUGGCCGUGGCCGCCCGCAGAACACCGGCGAGCGAUAAGCGUCAGACCACAUGGUCUGAA
rnacentral:lncRNA from 1 species